rnacentral:lncRNA from 1 species
UCCCCAUAUUCAACAUCUCGGUGAAGUCAGAAAGAGCACUAGCAAUCAUCUGCUCGUAAUAGAAUGAACUCAAGGUCUUCAAAAAGAUCUUGGUCAUUUCCUUCUCUUCCAGCGGAGGCACGAUCUGUGCUGCCACCUCUCACCACCUCUGGGCAUAUUCUUUGAAUGUUUCUUUGUCCUUCUGGGACAUGGCCCUUAACUUAUCUCUAUCGGGAGCCAUAUCCAUGUUAUAUUUGCAUUGCUUGACGAAGGCCUCGCCAAGGUCGUUGAAGGAUCGG